rnacentral:rRNA from 1 species
UACGUAGGGUGCGAGCGUUAAUCGGAAUUACUGGGCGUAAAGCGUGCGCAGGCGGUUUUGCAAGCCGGAUGUGAAAUCCCCGGGCUCAACCUGGGAAUGGCAUUCGGGACUGCAAGGCUGGAGUGCGGCAGAGGAGACUGGAAUUCCUGGUGUAGCAGUGAAAUGCGUAGAUAUCAGGAGGAAUACCGAUGGCGAAGGCAGGUCUCUGGGCUGACACUGACGCUCAGGCACGAAAGCGUGGGGAGCAAACAGG